UGCCAGCUGCCGCGGUAAUACGGAGGGUGCAAGCGUUGCUCGGAUUUACUGGGCGUAAAGAGCACGUAGGUGGUUUGGUAAGUCUGAUGUGAAAGCCCACGACUCAAUCGUGGAAGUGCAUUGGAUACUGCCAGACUAGAGUACAGGAGAGGUAAGCGGAAUUCCAGGUGUAGAGGUGAAAUUCGUAGAUAUCUGGAGGAACAACGGCGGCGAAGGCGGCUUACUGGACUGUUACUGACACUGAGGUGCGAAAGUGUGGGGAGCAAACAGGAUUAGAUA
rnacentral:rRNA from 1 species